GCUGAGAUACCAUUUGGUAUGUACUGACUGAGUAUUUAUGCGUUUUUAACUGAAAUCACAGCAGCGUCCAUCUAUGAAGGAUGUAGGCUGUCAAACAUACACGACUGUUAGCCAAUCAUAGCAGUCGGCGUUUACUUCCGAGUCUACAAUCCUCCACGUCGAUUCAAACAGAGCGUUCCGAUGAGGGGGUCAAAACAAGACAGAAAAUAGCCUACAAAGUAAUAUAAAAGGCAGUUCAUGACCCCUUUAAGAGUGUGACUAUUUCUGGGGUUAUCUGGACUUCUUGUACUCACAUUUCUAUAGUUUCCUAACCCAAUGCAUGUGUUGAUUCUCAGCCCUACCUACAACUCCUGAGAUUUCCACACCAUCCAAGGCUCCUAAAGAGAAUGGAGACACAACAACUACAAGUACACCAGCUCCAUGGGUUGUUGCACUGAUUGUGAUUGUUGUGAUUGUUUUGAUUGGUCUGGGUAAGUAAUUCUGCAUAUUUCACCUGAUAAUCUACAUGUCCUAUACCUUCUUAUUCAAUACAGUCACCAAAUCUUUUGUUAAGUUGUAGCAGUGUUAU
rnacentral:lncRNA from 1 species